rnacentral:tRNA from 1 species
UGUGAUUAAAUGUAAGAUGCAUAUUGAAUUUUGAAUUCAGAAGGUGAGUUUAAUUCUUAAAUUCACAA